UUAGAGACUACACAAAAAAAGAAAGAAAAAAAACGCUGAAACGUGAAUGAGAGGAUUUUGAGGGAGCUGAGACAGCGCGAGAAAUGUCGAGAGACGGAGAGGAAGAGAGUGUGGAGGAGGGGGCACCUUCGAGCGGCAUCAUCAGAGUGAGAGCGAGGCAUGACCCUUUUCUGGUGGUCUGUAGGUGUUUCAGCGUCAUCACCGCCGCCGUCGCCCUCCUCUGCAUUGCAGUCAAUGUUAUGUCCGCCAUUCGAUCCUUCGAGAAUGGAUCUGAUAUAUUCGAUGGGAUAUUUCGGUGUUACGCGGUUCUGAUUGCGUGCUUUGUGGUUCUGGCUGAGACGGAAUGGGCAUUCAUACUGAAGUUCUGGCAGGUGUUGGAGUAUUGGGCUGGUAGGGGUAUGCUGCAGAUCUUUGUUGCUGUGAUGACAAGAGCUUUCCCUGACUAUUAUGGGGUGCGGAAGGAGCUUGUUCUUCUUCAAAACAUAUCAAGUUAUAUGCUUCUUGGUUGUGGUGUAGUGUAUUUAGUUUCGGGACUUCUGUGCAUUGGACGCCUUAAACGUUUUCGGCAGCAGAAAAAGAUUUCAAGGGACCAAGCAGUGAAGGAUCUGGAGGAAUUGGCGCGGCGUAGAGAGGAGCUUGAACAAUUGCUUAUUGUGGAGAGGGUGUGAGACGAUUUGCAUGAGUAGGCCAAGGAUAUUGAGGUUACCAGAGGCAAGGAAGCCAAAGUUUAAUGCAAAAAUGCGUUUUGUGCUCGGUUUGGAUCAACUGCUAGCAAUCAUAAAAGGGUGGCUGAACAACCUUUAAAUGGCUAGGGAGUGGUUUGGUCACUCUCAAAUCGGUUAUAGAGAUGGUUGAAACCACCCUAUUUUGUUUUUUGUAAUAUUUUUUUAAAAAAACAAUAUUAAUGAAGCAUAUGAGACAACUGUUA